rnacentral:rRNA from 1 species
UACGUAGGGGCAAGCGUUGUCCGGAAUCAUUGGCGUAAAGAGCGUGUAGGCGGUCCGGUAAGUCGGCUGUGAAAGUCCAGGCUCAACCCUGGGAUGCCGGUCGAUACUGCCGGACUAGAGUUCGGAAGAGGCGAGUGGAAUUCCCGGUGUAGCGGUGAAAUGCGCAGAUAUCGGGAGGAACACCUAUGGCGAAGGCAGCUCGCUGGGACGUUACUGACGCUGAGACGCGAAAGCGUGGGAGCAAACAGG